CGUAUCAAGACUCGUUCUCAGUUGUGCAUUCUUUUCCGGGAAGCUCCGCCUAUAGAAUGCGAGCGAUGCGUGUGACGUAUUGCCAUUGGGCUGCAGAUGGAGAAGGACAGAGAAUGUGAAAACUUCACCUGAUCCAAGAUUUCACAGUGGCUGGAUUUUCUGACAUCUGUGUGUGAACAAUAUAUUGGCUAGAGCUGUACUUCUUUUUUUUUUUUUCCUAACCAGAUGACGGGGGUCGGAGAUGCACAAACAAAUUUAGUUCCUAACUGUAGUAAGGGAAAUUAGACAUCACAGUUCCCCUAUAUAGUAAUAUACAAAGAUUGGGGGAGUAAAGUGGAACACAAGUCCCAGCUUAAUGCAGGUUCGAUAUGGGCCAAUAGCAGAAGUAGUCAUUAACACUGACACAGCUUUUUAGAACGCUGGUUAUAAAAAUGUUCUGCUAUUAUAAGCCCGAAUGCAUGAUGAAGUCUUAUAAGCACUGGAAAAAAUUACAGCUAACUAGUAUUGUAUUAUUAAUGUAAGCUGUAUACUUUUUGUAUAGUAGCACUAGCAAAUACGUAUUAUUUAGCCAGUGUUCAGGAGGCCAUUACAUUUUCUGCCUGAAAUUCAGUAGUCAUGUGUACGUUAGUGAUGUCUUUUGAUGACCCGCUUGGGGUUACCACAAGCAAUGGGAAGAUUUUUUCUGGGACUGAUUGCAAUGACACAUCUAGCACGGUAGAUGAAACUUCAGAAAACAAGGAUGAAAAUCCUCCCACUGAUCUAGAGUCGGAAAGGAAGACAUCUGUACAGCUGUGUCACAUUGAAGACAUGCAAGCCACAAUGGAAACUAACGCCGAGGAGCAAAACACGCAUCGAAUUAAUGCCAACAGCUGGUUUGUUACUCACUUUUUCUUCUGUCAUUGUUAGAAUGGUCAAAUUCAUUGCACAACACUUGGGUAUCACAGUUCUGGGGGCAUUAAAGGACACCGUAGCAGCAGUGCCUUGUUGACUAAGGAACUGCUCUAAAUUUAGGGAACACUACAUAAAGAGCGCAAGUUGUAUAUGUUG